AUUUAUAUAGUUUAACAAAAACAUUACAUUUUCAUUGUGAAAUUAAAGUAAUUUUAUAAAUA
rnacentral:tRNA from 1 species